rnacentral:rRNA from 1 species
UACGGGGGGGGCAAGCGUUGUUCGGAAUUACUGGGCGUAAAGGGCUUGUAGGUGGCCAACUAAGUCAGACGUGAAAUCCCUCGGCUUAACCGGGGAACUGCGUCUGAUACUGGUUGGCUUGAAUCCGGGAGAGGGAUGUGGAAUUCCAGGUGUAGCGGUGAAAUGCGUAGAUAUCUGGAGGAACACCGGUGGCGAAGGCGGCAUCCUGGACCGGUAUUGACGCUGAGGAGCGAAAGCCAGGGGAGCAAACGGG